rnacentral:rRNA from 1 species
UCAACAACGGAUCUCUUGGUUCUGGCAUCGAUGAAGAACGCAGCGAAAUGCGAUACGUAGUGUGAAUUGCAGAAUUCAGUGAAUCAUCGAAUCUUUGAACGCACAUUUGCGCCCUUUGGUAUUCCAAAGGGCAUGCCUGUUCGAGCGUCAUU